UUUUUCAGAGAUAUGUGUCUCUGCCAAGCUCAAUUUAGAUCGUCAGAGACACCGCACCUGUCACUAAUUUAUUGGUUUCGUUUUGUUUUUGUUUUUUCCUUCCUUCUUAUUUGCUCCUCUCGAGAGAGAGAGAUACAAUCAAGGAUCACACUCUGCUUCGUGAAUGGAUUUAUCAAAAUCAAUUCCUAGAUUUCCUAUAAUCAAAAUCAACGAGAGAAAUCCAAUCGACGUUGUCCUUCGUCUUCUUCUUCUUCUCUCGUUUCUUCUUCUUUUGUCUUGGAUUAAACAGUCCAGGAAACAGACUUUGUGGUUCCUCUUUCUUCGUCUCUCUCUUUUGGCUUCCUUUCAGUUUUGAGUUUGGUAUAUGAUUGAAUGGUUUCACUUUUGUUUGCAAGUUAUAGUGGACAUUUGAUAGGGCUAAUAACAACGAUGAUUUUUAUAAAUGACAUUGUCUUUGGUAGUUUAAAUAGUUUAAAUAGUUUGGUAUCCUUGUCUUUGGUAGUUUAAGUAGUCUGGUGAUGUGAAUCGUUUUUAAUUACUCAAAUCCACUGUUUCAUGUUUGUUAUUGUUUGUGUCUUGUUAUAAACUAAUCAAAUCCACUGGAGUUAAAAGUUUGUUUGUUUGUGUUCGUGUUCCAACCUGAAGUUUGUGUUGUUUGGUUCUGCUCUUGUUAGUGUUGUUUGGUUCUGCUCUUGUUUGUGUUGUUAGGUUCUGCUCUUGUUUGUGUUGUUAGGUUCUGUUCUUAUUAACUGUUGUUUGGUUCUGCUCUUGUUUGUGUUUUUAGGUUCUGCUCUUGAUUGUGUUGUUAGGGUCUGUUCUUAUUAACUGUUGUUUGGUUCUGCUCUUAUUAGUGUUGUUUGGUUCUGCUCUUGUUUGUGUUGUUAGGGUCUGUUCUUAUUAACUAUUGUUUGGUUCUGCUCUUGUUAGUGUUGUUUGGUUCUGCUCUUGUUUGUGUUGUUAGGUUCUGUUCUUAUUAACUAUUGUUUGGUUCUGCCCUUGUUUGUGUUGUUUGGUUCUGUUCUUAUUAACUUUUGUUUGGUUCUGCUCUUGUUAGUGUUGUUUGGUUCUGCUCCGAUUUUUGCAGAAAGUGUCUACUCCGAUAUUUGCAGUUUUGAUAUCUACUCUAAUUUGAAGAAAGUGUUUAUGGAGAAAGAGUAUGAUCUCAAGAUGAAGCUUCACAGUCUACACUUCAGAGACCUAUCAUAAGCUUAGUAUGGUGCUUCAGAGAUUCAAGAUGAAGGAUCUGUAUGCAGAGUUUGUUCUGAAUGAUCUAAAGAAGAUCAGUUAGCUGUUUGUUUAUCUUGGUUUCUUUGAUAUCAUAAGCUUCAAGUGCUUCGGCCAUGGCUUCUGCUUUGUAUUGGAAGAAAAAAUCGUGUGGAUUAGUGUAGAGAGAGUGAAAAGGAGAGACUGAAGUGUUGAUUGAUGUGUUUUUUUUUUGGGAUUGUAUUUUUAUAGUGUGGAGAGAAAUGUGUAGUAUUAUUUUCCUAAUAUUGCAUAUAUUACAACAUUUAUAACAUUAUAAAAAUAUACUUUAAACA